UAGCGGUGGUUAGAGGAUUCGGGAUCAAGCUGCUGAUCGAAUACUAAUGAGAACUAAUGGAGGAACUGCUUAAGGGGUGAGGAAUAUUGGGCUCCCGAGGUGUGGGAGGAAUAGCUGCAGGUGAAAGUGGAAAGGUGCUUGUCCCGGCAUGACUACCUCACAGUCCUCGUCUGAUCGGCACGCUAACCGAAGGUGCCAACAUGGGCAGACAGCGUCUGGAAGGCGGCCAUCAAAUCAUGCAGCAGUUGGUCAUCACCAGAGAAUAAGAGAGGCGCUGCAGCAAAUACGGACAAAGCGCAGACAAAAACCCUUGCUGCCCAAAAGGAUGAGAAAAAAGGGGUCAGCCGGGGGACAAAACACGGAGGAUGUCGGCCCCGGAGAAGCUGACCUUCAAGGAGCGCCGGCGUCUGUUUUCUAAACAAAGACUCCUGAUUAGUCUGCAGUAACAUAUUGUGUCAUUUAUACACCUAUUAUUUUAUACACAUUAUGGGGAACAAACUGUAAAAAUUGAUUAUUAAUCAACUUGUUCAUUUACUGUUAAUAUCUGCUUAUUUUCUCUUUCAACAUGUUCUAUCUACACUUCUGUUCAAAUGUAAUAAUCACUUAUUCUUCUCGUCUUUGAUACCACACAUUAGUUUUGGAUGAUACCACACAUUUAGGUAUCGAUGCGAUACCAAGUAGUUACAGGAUCAUGCAAUAAAAUAUAAUACCUAAUAAAGCAAUAAUAAUAUGGUUAAACAAUACUGAUAUAAAGGGUAGGUGUUGCCCUGUUUUCUGUUUUAACAUGUGCUAUCUACACUUCUGUCCAAAUGUAAUAAUCACUUAUUCUUCUCUUCUUUGAUACUUGACAUUAGUUUUGGAUGAUACCACACAUUUAGGUAUCAAUCCGAUACCAAGUAGUUACAGGAUCAUACAUUGGUCAUAUUCAAAGUCCUCAUGUGUCCAGGGACAUAUUUACUGACUUUAUAAACAUAAUAUGAAUUUUAAAAAAAGAUGAUGUGAUAACAAAUAUCCAUGUAAUCAUAGUAGUAUCGUAUUAAUGUUGUUUAUAAUGUGUAUUUAUAAUAAGUUGUGCAAAGGACAUUUUAUAACUUUCGGAAGUUUAUUUUGUACUUGAAAUUGUUUAUAGGGUUAGGCGCAAUAAGUGUUUAACUUCAGCCUAAACCCUUUCGGUCUGUAACAUUUUUUAUUUUCAAUCCAUGAAUGUACAACUUUUUAUUUUCAAUCUAUGAAUGUACAACGGUUUGUUUGCUUUGUUGACCAU